rnacentral:lncRNA from 1 species
GUCGUUGCUAUCUCUGCUAUCUUUAUGUUGGCGCUCCUCAUGUCUUGUGGUAAGAAAAAGAGAUAUGUUGCUAACUUCAAUAUACGAAGCUUCAGGCUAAUGAUCUCUUCCAUAUUUUGCUUCGUCCUUUUGACUAUCUGGAAUAAUAUCUUUAUUUUAUUUGAUUUAUUUAUCUAGAUACAGUUCAAGGGGAGUGCAAAAGGACGGAGGUCAAUACUAAUUUACCAUGUCGUAACCCCCAGAUAUGUCGUCGGUGGUGCUAUUCCGGCAAAUUCACCGGCGGCGGGUACUGCGAAAUUCAGGGUGAUAGAGCAUUUUGCGUGUGCGUGGGUUGUACGCCGCCAACAUAAAAUUGCUCAAAGUGAUCCAGAGCAAAGAAGAUCUUGCACCGGAAGGAGUUAUAUCAGGGAGAUCUGCGACUUUGCCCGCUUAAAUUUUUCAAGCAUUUCUUUUUCUUUCCUCACACGGGCGUGUAAUAAAGUAGCACAUUACCUUGCGGCGUAUGGCUCACGGUCCCAGGUCGGCCGCCAAGUUUUGGCGGAAAGCCUGCCCGACGAUGUAAACGUUUGGAUGGCCAGCUUUGUUGCUGAGCCUGUGUGAUUUAUGGAAUGAGAUGUGUUCCAUCUAAAAAAAAACAUCAAAUUCCUAGAGUUUGUAUCGAUGAGUUUUUUGGAAAAUAAAUAAAGUACAUGUAUCUAUCAAUAAUGAUGCUGAAAGUCCCC